AUAGUUUGAUUCUAACUAAAUUAUUAAAGAUUAUUUUACACCUCAUGUGUAAACAAACUAAAAGUGUAAAAUUAGUAUAACAAUUAUGAAUAAUCUAAAAAUACAGUGGAUAAUACUAGUCAAUAUAUGUAAAUAUGAACUGGUAAAAAUAUAUUACAUUGGCCAAAUUUGUGCCAGCAGCCGCGGUUAGACAAAAAAUAUUUAAUAAUAAAAACUCUACAAGAUAUUAUAUAAUCAUUAAUAGGUUUAAUUAAAACUUAUUUAGUACCUAAAAUAUCAUUAAUAAAUUAUUGACUAAAACAAGGAUUAGAUACCCUUUUAUUAAUAACCUAUAAUAAGAGUUGGAAAGUACGAACAACUGUUUAAACACCAAAGAAUUUGGCGGUGUCUUAUCUUAUUAGGGGAACCUGUCCUAUAAUUCGAUAAUCCACGUAUAGAUUACCUAAUUUAGAAAUUCAGUAAGUGUACUGCCGUCUUUAGUAUACCUUUAUGAGAGUAUACAAUAAAUUUUAAAUUUAUUUUACGUCAGGUCAAAGUGCUGCCUAUAAUUGGGAUGAGAUGGGUUACAAUCUUUAUAUAGAUAACGGAAUAAAAUAUAAAUAUAUUUUAUAAAGGUGGACUUAAUAGUAAUUAUUUUAUAAAAUAAUGAAAAUAUGUUAAGACAAGUACAAAUCGCCCGUCACUCCUUUAAGGAUAAGUCGUAACAUAGUUGAUGUAACGGAAGUUGCAUCUGUU
rnacentral:ncRNA from 1 species